UGGAAACAGUGGCUAAGACUGGAUAGGAAGAUAAAAGGCAUCUUUUAUCUUUUAAAAGACCUAGUAAUAGGUAUGCUUUAGGAGGGGCUUGCGCCAUAUUAGUUAGUUGGUAGGGUAAUGGCCUACCAAGACGAUGAUGUGUAGCUGGACUGAGAGGUUGAACAGCCACAUUGGGACUGAGACACGGCCCAAACUCCUACGGGAGGCAGCAGUAGGGAAUUUUCGGCAAUGGAGGAAACUCUGACCGAGCAACGCCGCGUGAAUGACGAAGUACUUCGGUAUGUAAAGUUCUUUUAUCAAGGAAGAAAAGCAAAUGGCGAACCAUUUGUUUGCCGGUACUUGAUGAAUAAGCCCCGGCUAAUUAUGUGCCAGCAGCCGCGGUAAGACAUAAGGGGCAAGUGUUAUCCGGAAUUAUUGGGCGUAAAGGGUGCGUAGGCGGUCUAGUAAGUCAGUGGUGUAAUGGCAACGCUUAACGUUGUCCGGCUAUUGAAACUGCUAAACUUGAGUUAGAUAGAGGCGAGUGGAAUUCCAUGUGUAGCGGUAAAAUGCGUAAAUAUAUGGAGGAACACCAGAGGCGUAGGCGGCUCGCUGGGUCUUAACUGACGCUGAGGCACGAAAGCGUGGGGAGCAAACAGGAUUAGAUACCCUGGUAGUCCACGCCGUAAACGAUGAGUACUAAGUGUCGGGUUAAACCGGUACUGAAGUUAACACAUUAAGUACUCCGCCUGAGUAGUACGUACGCAAGUAUGAAACUUAAAGGAAUUGACGGGACUCCGCACAAGCGGUGGAUCAUGUUGUUUAAUUCGAAGAUACCCGAAAAACCUUACCAGGUCUUGACAUGUUUUUGCAAAAUGAUAGUAAUAUCGUGGAGGUUACCAGAAACACAGGUGGUGCAUGGUUGUCGUCAGCUCGUGUCGUGAGAUGUUAGGUUAAGUCCUAAAACGAGCGAAACCCUUAUCGUUAGUUGCCAGCACGUUAUGGUGGGGACUUUAACGAGACUGCCAAUGAUAAAUUGGAGGAAGGUGAGGAUCACGUCAAAUCAGCAUGCCCCUUAUGACCUGGGCUACAAACGUGAUACAAUGGCUGUUACAAAGGGUAGCUGAAACGCAAGUUCUUGGCCAAUCCCCAAAAACAGUCCCAGUCCGGAUUGAAGUCUGCAACUCGACUUCAUGAAGUUGGAAUCGCUAGUAAUCGCGAAUCAGCAUGUCGCGGUGAAUACGUUCUCGGGGUUUGUACACACCGCCCGUCA
rnacentral:rRNA from 2 species